GAUGAACGCUGGCGGCGUGCCUAAUACAUGCAAGUCGAGCGAACGGACGAUAAGCUCGCUUCCCUGAUGUUAGCGGCGGACGGGCGAGUAACACGUGGAUAACCUACCUAUAUGACUGGGAUAACUUCGGGAAACCGGAGCUAAUACCGGCUAAUAUUUUCAACCGCAUGGUUCAAAAGUGAAAGACGGCUUUGCCGUCACUUUUAGAUGGUUCCGCGCUGCAUUAGCUAGUUGGUAAGGUAACGGCUUACCAAGGCAACGAUGCGUAGCCGACCUGAGAGGGUGAUCAGCCACACUGGAACUGAGACACGGUCCAGACUCCUACGGGAGGCAGCAGUGGGGAAUCUUCCGCAAUGGGCGAAAGCCUGACGGAGCAACGCCGCGUGAGUGAUGAAGGUCUUCGGAUCGUAAAGCUCUGUUAUUAGGGAAGAACAGAUGUGUGAGUAACUGUGCACGUCUUGACGGUACCUAAUCAGAAAGCCACGGCUAACUACGUG
rnacentral:rRNA from 1 species